ensembl:lncRNA
AUGGAACAUUCCCCCCUGCUGUUUUGGCCCAGCUCCACAGCCUCUAGUCGCUGGUGCAGCAACAGGACACAGCAAGGAUGCCAAAGGAUCUGCAGGAGCUCCAGAACAGCUCUACCAUGUCUACUGGUGAUGCCACUGCAGUUGUGUCCCUGUUUCAGUACUGGAUCACAGACAUCCCGCCCAUGCAGAGAGAAUGGAAAACAGGCCAACCUACAACAUAACCUUCCUAGUCGAGCCAACCAACAACACAACCUUAGACUUUCCUAGAUGUUCAGGGUUUUUAACAAUACUGCUGACGGAAAACAUGUCUGACUUAAUUAAUUGUGAGCCCAUGAAACGGAGUUAAGUACAUACCGUAAGCUCACUCCACAGCUAGCUUUAAAUGUCGUGGAUGGAGCCAUCCAAUCGGUACCUUUUGGGUGGCUCAAACCGUUGGAAUGUUGUCAAGGAGGGAGGCCAUGUGUGUUAGCAAAGCAGAGGUCUCGAGUUCGAGCCAGGUACGAGCCGAAUCGAGGAAGUGAUACCAGACAAAAUUAAUUAACCGUUUAAUGGAUUUUCCACACAGAAAAGUGAGGCGAGCAAGUGUUUAAAAAAAAUUAAUAAUUAUAAAUGAAAACAUUAAGUGGAUAAGGAAUAACAUUACUUGACCACAUUGUCCUAUGCACCUGUGUGGGCUCUAGAGUUAUAUUAUUCCAUGUGAAAACAUACACUAUUUUUCUUAAAAAGAAUGCAGAUGUUACAAUGUUGUUAUAACCAUGAGAAAUGAAACACACUAAAGUAUAACUUGUGACAGUUUCAUUAUUCCUGAUCAAAAUAAUUAUUUCUGAUAUAUACAACCGUUCAAAAGUUUGGGGUCACUUAGAAAUUCAUUUUUUUUGUCCAUUAAAAUAACAUCAAAUUGAUCAGAAAUACAGUGUAGACAUUGUUAAUGUUAUAAAUGACUAUUGUCGCUGGAAAUGGCAGAUUUAGUUUUUAAUGGAAUAUCUACAUAGCCGUACAGAGGCCCAUUAUCAGCAACCAUCACUCCUGUGUUCCAAUGGCAUGUUGUGUUAGCUAAUCUAAGUUUAUCAUUUGAAAAGGCUAAUUGAUCAUUAGAAAACCCUUUUGCAAUUAUGUUAGCACAGCUGAAAACUGUUGUCCUGAUUAAAGAAGCAAUAAAACUGGCCUUAAGACUAGUUGAGUAUCUGGAGCAUCAGCCUUUGUGGGUUUGAGUGUGUGGCAUGCUUGAACAUGCUACUACUGCUAUUACUGGUAACACCGGUAAAAUGUAAGUUAUGAAUCGCAAAUCGCCAUACAGCUGAAACACUUUGAUUUCAUCAAUCAUUUUUGCUUCAAUUUGGUUGUCCAAAAUAUUUCAGAUGAUUUAAAGUAGCCACCCUUUGCCUUGAUGACAGCUUUGCACACUUAGCAUUCUAUCAACCAGCUUCAUAUGAGCUUCAUUCAUCAUUUGUAGAAUUUCUUUCCUUAAUGUGUUUGAGCCAAUCAUUUGGGUUGUGACAAGGUAGGGGUGGUAUACAGAAUAUAUUUGGUAAAAGACCGAGUCCAUAUUAUGGCAAGAACGGCUCAAAUAAGCAAAGAGAAACGACAGUCCAUCAUUACUUUAAGACAUGAAGGUCAGUCAAGAACUUAAAGUUUCUUCAUGUGCUGUCAUGCCCUGAUCUGUUUUUCACCUGUCCUUGUGCUUGUCUCCACCUACCCGCCUGCCUGACCACUCUGCUUGAUUCUGAGCCUGCCUGCUGUCCCGUACCUUUGCCCCUACUCAGGAUUACCGACCUCUGCCUGACCUGACCCUGAGCUUGCCUGCCGUCCUGUACUUUGCCCCACUUCUCUGGAUUAUCGACCCCUGCCUGCCUUAAUCUGUCGUUUGCCUGCCCCUGUUGCUGUAAUAAACAUUGAUACUUCAACACAGUCUGCAUUUGGGUCUUACCUGAACGUGAUAAGUGCAGUCGCAAAAACCAUCAAGCGCUAUGAUGAAAAUGGCUCUCAUGAGGACCACCACAGGAAAUGAAGACCCAGAGUUACCUCUGCUGCAGAGGAUACAUUCAUUAGAGUUAACUGCACCUGAGAUUGCAGCCCAAAUUAAUGCCUCACAGAGUAACAGACACAUCUCAACAUCAACUAUUCAGAGGAGACCGCACUUAUCGAAUCAGGCCUUUAUGGUUGAAUUGCUACAAAGAAAGCACCACUAAAGGACACCAAUAAUAAGAAGAGACUUGCUUGGGUCAAGAAACAUGAGCAAUGGACAUUAGACCAGUGGAAAUCUGUCCUUUGGUCUGUUGACUCCAAAUUUGAGAUUUUUGGUUCCAACCGCCGUGUCUUUGUGAGACGCAGAGUAGGUGAACGGAUGAUCUCUGCAUGUGUUAGGAGUGUGUAUUGGAGGCGAAGUCAGGUGCAGUAGAGCAGAGUGUAGUUAUUCCGGUCCAAAAUGACAGCACAAAGUAACAUAAAAUGUGCCCAAACACAGAACAUAGACAAAAAGUGAUGCGCGUAACAAUAUCCACAAUGCCAAAUACACGUAACACAAACAAACAAUCUUACACAAAGAAUAUGGAUUGAUUGGGGAAUGAAAACCAGGUGUGCAGGGAACAAGACAAAACAAAUGGAUACAUGAAAAAUGGAGCGGCGAUGGCUAGAAAGCCGGUGACGUCGACCGCCGAACGCCGCCCGAACAAGGAGAGGAGCCGACUUUGGCGGAAGUCGUGACAGCGUGUGUAGUUCCCACUGUGA